AGUGGCGCACGGGUGAGUAACGCGUGGGAAUAUGCCCUUUAGUACGGGAUAACCAAGGGAAACUUUGGCUAAUACCGUAUACGCCCUUCGGGGGAAAGAUUUAUCGCUAAAGGAUUAGCCCGCGUAGGAUUAGCUAGUUGGUGAGGUAAUGGCUCACCAAGGCGACGAUCCUUAGCUGGUCUGAGGGGACGACCAGCCACACUGGAACUGAGACACGGUCCAGACUCCUACGGGAGGCAGCAGUGGGGAAUAUUGGGCAAUGGAGGAGACUCUGACCCAGCCAUGCCGCGUGAAUGAUGAAGGCCUUAGGGUUGUAAAGUUCUUUCGUUGGUGAAGAUAAUGACGGUAACCAAAGAAGAAGCCCCGGCUAACUUCGUGCCAGCAGCCGCGGUAAUACGAAGGGGGCUAGCGUUGUUCGGAAUCACUGGGCGUAAAGCGCACGCAGGCGGUCAUGCAAGCCAGAGGUGAAAUCCCGGAGCCUAACUCCGGAACUGCCUUUGGAACUGCAUGGCUAGAGUCUCGGAGGGGGUGGCGGAAUUCCUAAUGUAGGGGUGAAAUCCGUAGAUAUUAGGAGGAACACCGGUGGCGAAGGCGGCCACCUGGACGAGUACUGACGCUCAUGUGCGAAAGCGUGGGGAGCAAACAGGAUUAGAUACCCUGGUAGUCCACGCCGUAAACGAUG
rnacentral:rRNA from 1 species